UGGGGAAUCUUGGACAAUGGGGGCAACCCUGAUCCAGCGACGCCGCGUGGGUGAAGAAGGCCUUAGGGUUGUAAACCCCUUUCGCCGGGGAAGAUGAUGACGGUACCCGGAGAAGAAGCACCGGCUAACUCCGUGCCAGCAGCCGCGGUAAGACGGAGGGUGCUAGCGUUGUCCGGACUCACAGGGCGUAAAGCGCACGCAGGUGGUAGCGCAAGUGGGGUGUGAAAGCCGCCAGCUCAACUGGCGGAGGCCAUCCCAAACUGCGUCACUUGAGGCCUGUAGAGGUAUGUGGAAUUGCCGGUGUAGUGGUGAAAUGCGUAGAGAUCGGCAGGAACACCCAGGGGGAAACCAGCAUACUGGACAGGACCUGACACUCAGGUGCGACAGCGUGGGGAGCGAACCGGAUUAGAUACCCCCGUAGUCC
rnacentral:rRNA from 1 species